rnacentral:rRNA from 1 species
UACAGAGGUCCCAAGCGUUGUUCGGGUUCACUGGGCGUAAAGGGUGCGUAGGUGGUGAGGUAAGUCGGAUGUGAAAUCUCCGAGCUCAACUCGGAAACUGCAUUGGAAACUACCUUGCUCGAGGGUUGGAGGGGGGACUGGAAUGCUUGGUGUAGCAGUGAAAUGCGUAGAUAUCAAGCGGAACACCAGUGGCGAAGGCGAGUCCCUGGACAACUCCUGACACUGAGGCACGAAAGCUAGGGGAGCAGACAGG